AUGUCCCAGCCUCUGUCUACACAGAGUUUCUGUAUCCACCCCUCUCCCAUGGCAAGGAACUCCAAGGCCCAGCAUAGCACUGAACCACCAUCAGAUGUGAUGUCUAUUGAUGCAAGAUCCCUUCUAGUUCAGAAGAGGAGGAGAGAGGGCUUCAGACUCACCUGGUUCCCAAGGAGGAUGAGGCGAGAGAAUUGGAUGAGAGAGCAGGGAGCUGGGCUGCCUUUUAUACUGGUCCUUCAUUGCCGCAGGCCCAGGGGCACCCUUGGCAGAGGUAACAAUUUUCUGAGAAGCUCAUCUUGAAUGCAAACCAUCCCAGCAAAUGAUAUGGGCUGUGUGUUGGUUUGCUGCACUGGUGCCUUUUCAUUUUCAGAUUUAGGCCAUGGCCAUUCCCCAAUGAUGACUUCUUUGGAGUGCUGGGAUGAACAGCCCAAGUAUUUCUAAGGCAGGAAUGCAUCUGUGAUAGCAGAAGACUCAUUUUAAGUGCUGGAUGUGUCCCGAGCAGUCAUGUGACGUCUGUCUGGGUGACAUUGUUGGGGAUGUUUGAAGUGGUAUUCUGAGGAGGAAGCUCCCACAAGCUGAAGUUGGAUUCUGAAGUAUGGCUAUGCAUGAGGAAGUGCCACAUCCUUCCUUUUCCUUUCUACCUCAUCUCACUCUGAUGGUCCCUUGUUGCCUCCCCGGGUGUGUGAUUUGUUCUACUGGCUUUUACCCUCAUCCACAUUAGCACUGCAGUCCAUGAAAAAAUAUUCUUUCUCCUUUUGACUCCAUGUCUCUCGGUGCAGUCUGUGAGCUCACUAACAGUGCCAUAGAAUCGCAGAACAGCAGAAUCAUAGAAUGGCUUUGUUUGGAAGGGACAUUGAAGUUAAAGUUCAUUGAGUUCAACCUCCCUGCCAUGGGCAUGGAUACUUUCCACUGGAACAGUCUGCCAAGAGCCCCAUCCAAUGUAGCCUUGAAAAUUUUCAGGAUGGGGCAUCCACAAGUUCUCUGCACAACCCGUUCCUCUGUAUCACCACCCUCAUUGUAAAGAUUUUCUUCCUAAUAACUAAUUAAAAUCUACUUUCGUUUAGUUUAUAACCAUUACCCCUUGACAUACUCCAGCCCUCUGAUCAUCUUUGAGGCCCUCCUCUGGACCCACUCUAACAGGUCUACG
rnacentral:lncRNA from 1 species